rnacentral:rRNA from 1 species
CCCCGGGUCUGCAGUGGGUACGGGCAGACUAGAGUGCAGUAGGGGAGACUGGAAUUCCUGGUGUAGCGGUGAAAUGCGCAGAUAUCAGGAGGAACACCGAUGGCGAAGGCAGGUCUCUGGGCUGUUACUGACGCUGAGGAGCGAAAGCAUGGGGAGCGAACAGGAUUAGAUACCCUGGUAGUCCAUGCCGUAAACGUUGGGCACUAGGUGUGGGGGACAUUCCACGUCCUCCGCGCCGUAGCUAACGCAUUAAGUGCCCCGCCUGGGGAGUACGGCCGCAAGGCUAAAACUCAAAGGAAUUGACGGGGGCCCGCACAAGCGGCGGAGCAUGCGGAUUAAUUCGAUGCAACGCGAAGAACCUUACCAAGGCUUGACAUCCGCCGGACCGCCCCAGAGAUGGGGUCUCCCUUCGGGGCCGGUGGACAGGUGGUGCAUGGUUGUCGUCAGCUCGUGUCGUGAGAUGUUGGGUUAAGUCCCGCAACGAGCGCAACCCUCGUUCUAUGUUGCCAGCACGUGAUGGUGGGGACUCAUAGGAGACUGCCGGGGUCAACUCGGAGGAAGGUGGGGAUGACGUCAAAUCAUCAUGCCCCUUAUGUCUUGGGCUUCACGCAUGCUACAAUGGCCGGUACAAAGGGUUGCGAUACUGUGAGGUGGAGCUAAUCCCAAAAAGCCGGUCUCAGUUCGGAUUGAGGUCUGCAACUCGACCUCAUGAAGUCGGAGUCGCUAGUAAUCGCAGAUCAGCAACGCUGCGGUGAAUACGUUCCCGGGCCUUGUACACACCGCCCGUCAAGUCACGAAAGUUGGUAACACCCGAAGCCGGUGGCCUAACCCCUCGUGGGAGGGAGCC